GACGUAGGGCGCGAGCGUUGUCCGGAUUUAUUGGGCGUAAAGAGCUCGUAGGCGGCUUGUUACGUCGGCUGUGAAAUCCCGUGGCUCAACUGCGGGUCUGCAGCCGAUACGGGCGGGCUAGAGUUCGGUAGGGGAGACUGGAAUUCCUGGUGUAGCGGUGAAAUGCGCAGAUAUCAGGAGGAACACCGAUGGCGAAGGCAGGUCUCUGGGCCACUACUGACGCUGAGAAGCGAAAGCAUGGGGAGCGAACAGG
rnacentral:rRNA from 1 species